AGGAUGAGAAGCUUCGACUAAGGUUCGAUUCGAGCGCAGCGAGAAAGCGUUGCCGUAGGCAACGACCCGAAGGGCGAAGCGCGCAGCGCUGAGUCAUCCUUCCCCCACCACCA
rnacentral:sRNA from 1 species